UGGGCUCGAAAUGGCGGCGACUGGGGUGGAAACAUCCCUUCCCCGCAAGGGGCGCCGUUAU
rnacentral:rRNA from 1 species